rnacentral:rRNA from 1 species
GGAGCAUGUGGUUUAAUUCGAAGCAACGCGAAGAACCUUACCAGGUCUUGACAUACUCGUGCUAUUCCUAGAGAUAGGAAGUUCCUUCGGGACACGGGAUACAGGUGGUGCAUGGUUGUCGUCAGCUCGUGUCGUGAGAUGUUGGGUUAAGUCCCGCAACGAGCGCAACCCCUAUUGUUAGUUGCCAUCAUUAAGUUGGGCACUCUAACGAGACUGCCGGUGAUAAACCGGAGGAAGGUGGGGAUGACGUCAAAUCAUCAUGCCCCUUAUGACCUGGGCUACACACGUGCUACAAUGGAUGGUACAACGAGUCGCGAGACAGUGAUGUUUAGCUAAUCUCUUAAAACCAUUCUCAGUUCGGAUUGUAGGCUGCAACUCGCCUACAUGAAGUCGGAAUCGCUAGUAAUCGCGGAUCAGCACGCCGCGGUGAAUACGUUCCCGGGCCUUGUACACACCGCCCGUCACACCACGGGAGUUGGGAGUACCCGAAGUAGGUUGCCUAACCGCAAGGAGGGCGCUUCCUAAGGUAAGACCGAUGACUGGGGUGAAGUCGUAACAAGGUAGCCGUAUCGGAAGGUGCGGCUGGAUCACCUCCUUUCUAAGGAA